ACUGGCUCCAGUCUGCGGUGGGGCUGGAAAGUGUAUUUCAUUCAGGUCAGUGAACAUUUUUACGUACCAUAAAAUAUAGGACAUAUAAAUAGUCUUGACUUGAUUACCAACCGGGCAGCGAGGCAGAAAAGAAACCACCUGAGAUUCUGAAAUUCAGACUUUCACAAAAUGAUUUCCUAUAAGCUCAACUUGAUUAUUUUUACCCAGCAACAGCCUCUUUGCACUCUAUGAACUAACAUGGUUUGGUACACAGUAGGUACACUAUUCAAGUAUGCACAGUGUCAAUUAAAUUAAAUAGUUGUUUACACUGACAUAGUUAUUCAGAUACUGAAACGUCACAGAUAUCACUGUGUGUCCUUAUUAUUUAAAGGAGGAGUCGGGGGCGGCUGGGCAGCUUCCUGGCAGAGGUGACAUAGGGAUACAUUGGCAGUAAGUGGCGUAAUUACAGAUCGUUUUCACCGUGUUUAGCUGUUCAUUUAGGCGUGGAGCUUGGCCCAAUAAAAACCUGCCCCCCACUGCCUCUGCCCACUCAACCCCUUGGCAGCGCACCGUCACAGCCCCUGAAAAAUAAUUAACGACUUCCAAAUUAAUUAUAUGCCGAAAACCACCGAAAUCCCAUGUUUACUUGACACACAGCGUGGGCGAGCAGUGGAGUGGACAUCAUAGAAAAAAUAACUUAAUUGUGAGAGCAGUCUGAUCUAGACCUGUAUUCAUAAAGUGUCUCAGAGUAGGAGUGCUGAUCACAGCUCAGUUUGGCCUCAUGGAUCGUAAUGAAUAAGAUUACAUGGACCUGAUCCUGGAUCAGAACUCAGACAGAUGGUUUAUGAAUACAGGCCCUGGGUCUAUUGCCCAGAACAGAGGCACGUAGGGGGGCACAACGUGGGGCACAGAGGAGAGGAUCCAAUGGGAACUAGGUGGCCUUUCCCCCCCAUCUCUUCCCUUUCACACAGGGGUCAUUCCCCCGGAGAGAGGGCUGGAGGCUGGAUGGCACGGAGAGGAAGAGAAACAGGCUAAUACUGCCAGGCCCUGGGGCCCUGCUUCCUGACCGGGUGGGAGACCCUUGAUACACACAACACACACCCCGCCCUCAUACAGCAUGUCACUUCAAGGGAAGGGUAGGGGUUUCCAGCCUUCCGCCAGCGACAGUAAAUCACUCUGCCUUGCACCGUUGUCCACCAGGAAACUAAACCACCCUGCCUUGCACCGUUGUCCACAAGGAAACUAAACCCCCCUGCCUUGCAUCGUUGUCCACCAGGAAACUAAACCACCCAGCCUUGCACCGUUGUCCACCAGGAAACUAAACCCCCCUACCUUGCACCGUUGUCCACCAGGAAACUAAACCACCCAGCCUUGCAUCGUUGUCCACCAGGAAACUAAACCCCCCUGCCUUGCAUCGUUGUCCACCAGGAAACUAAACCACCCUGCCUUGCAUCGUUGUCCACCAGGAAACUAAACCCCCCCUGCCUUGCAUCGUUGUCCACCAGGAAACUAAACCACCCUACCUUGCACCGUUGUCCACCAGGAAACUAAACUCCCCUGCCUUGCAUCGUUGUCCACCAGGAAACUAAACCCCCCUGCCUUGCACCGUUGUCCACCAGGAAACUAAACCCCCCUACCUUGCACCGUUGUCCACCAGGAAACUAAACCCCCCUACCUUGCACCGUUGUCCACCAGGAAACUAAACCCCCCUACCUUGCACCGUUGUCCACCAGGAAACUAAACCCCCCUACCUUGCACCGUUGUCCACCAGGAAACUAAACCCCCCUACCUUGCACCGUUGUCCACCAGGAAACUAAACCCCCCUACCUUGCACCGUUGUCCACCAGGAAACUAAACCCCCCUACCUUGCACCGUUGUCCACCAGGAAACUAAACCACCCAGCCUUGCACUGUUGUCCACCAGGAAACUAAACCACCCCGCCUCGCACCGUUGUCCACCAGGAAACUAAACCCCCCUGCCUUGCAGGGGCUCUCUGGUAAUGCAUAAGAGAAAAGGCAUUCUGGGAUGGUACACAAGUCCUUCUCCAUGUCACUAGAGAUUUGUCAUCUAGACAAGUAUUUGUUUUGGUGGUGACAAAUACGAUGACACAUACGGAAUUGUGUAAAAAAAAAAAAAUCUACUGACAUGUACAGAUACCUCUGAAUUGUCUGUCGCGAAGAACAGGCUACUUUUGUUGAUUUUCAGUUCCAGUACAGAGUUUUGGUAAAUGUCCAUAAAGACAGGCUAGCCAUUAGCCUUGACUAUGUCAAAUUCCACCCGGAUCUCCAGUAUGUGCGAAACCAAAGAAACAGUCUGGUUUUUGUUUCACAAGAGGAGGAAAGUGUCCUGCCAGUGGUACCACAUGCCCAUUAUAUGAGAAAUACAGCGCUAUAAAAAAAACUGGACCAAGUUAGACAGAGAUAAUAUACCCUGGACCAAGUUAGACAGAGAGAAUACACCCUGGAUCAAAUUAGACAGAGAGAAUACACCCUGGACCAAGUUAGACAGAGAGAAUACACCCUGGACCAAGUUAGACAGAGAGAAUACACCCUGGACCAAGUUAGACAGCUGGACCAAGUUAGACAGAGAUAAUAUACCCUGGACCAAGUUAGACAGAGAGAAUAUACCCUGGACCAAGUUAGACAGAGAGAAUAUACCCUGGACCAAGUUAGACAGAGAGAAUACACCCUGGACCAAGUUAGACAGCUGGACCAAGUUAGACAGAGAGAAUAUACCCUGGACCAAGUUAGACAGAGAGAAUAUACCCUGGACCAAGUUAGACAGAGAGAAUACACCCUGGACCAAUUUAGACAGAGAGAAUACACCCUGGACCAAGUUAGACAGAGAGAAUACACCCUGGACCAAGUUAGACAGAGAGAAUAUACCCUGGACCAAGUUAGACAGAGAGAAUAUACCCUGGACCAAAUUAGACAGAGAGAAUACACCCUGGACCAAGUUAGACAGAGAGAAUAUACCCUGGACCAAGUUAGACAGAGAGAAUAUACCCUGGACCAAGUUAGACAGAGAGAAUAUACCCUGGACCAAGUUGGACAGAGAGAAUAUACCCUGGACCAAGUUAGACAGAGAGAAUACACCCUGGGCCAAAUUAGACAGAGACAAUACACCCUGGACCAAGUUAGACAGAGAGAAUAUACACACAUUUGGCGUUGAUGCUGAGUGGAAUUAAAAAAAAACAUUUACAUCGAUUAAAAGGUAUGACAGUUAAGAUGAUUUUUCCACUGCUCGUAAUUCAUUAGUGCAGCUUUCAAAUAAACCCUCUGUUUCCCGUA